UUGCUCUUUGUCGAAAGUUGAUAGGAACAUGCAACUAAACAGCUUGCGUUGGUUGGCCGACGGAGACGGUGUUUGUGCGGACGCUUUGCUGCGAUAUAAAGUCUUACAUGACUCAUCAAUUUGUAACACAUAUAUGGACACAUACAACAUUCAGUACCUUCUUCUUCAAAAAAGAUAUGGAGAAUUUGCGCAAGAAGUUUGCAGCGUUUGAUAAAACUCUACGAAGAUUAAGGUAUUGAUGAUGCCAUUUUUGGGAAGUGGAGAAAUCAGUACAAAUAUGAG
rnacentral:lncRNA from 1 species